UACGAAGGGGGCUAGCGUUGUUCGGAUUUACUGGGCGUAAAGCGCACGUAGGCGGUUUGUUAAGUCAGGGGUGAAAUCCCGGAGCUCAACUCCGGAACUGCCUUUGAUACUGGCAAGCUAGAGUCCGGAAGAGGUAAGUGGAACUCCUAGUGUAGAGGUGGAAUUCGUAGAUAUUAGGAAGAACACCAGUGGCGAAGGCGGCUUACUGGUCCGGAACUGACGCUGAGGUGCGAAAAGCGUGGGGAGCAAACAGG
rnacentral:rRNA from 1 species